UAGGGACUGUUUGCUUCGAAAAUUG
rnacentral:misc_RNA from 1 species